rnacentral:lncRNA from 1 species
AAAUUACACACAAAAACAUCGUCAACUGAGAGUUUAGCUACACUGCAAAAAAUCUCAGUCCUUACAUCUAUAUACCCCUCAUACGUUUGAAAAUAUCCGAUUUACCCAAACUUUUUUUUUCUCUAAAAUACUCCUUAUAUGUUCCACUGUUAUUGCAAAAUACCCCUGCAGUUAUCUCCUGUUAAAAGGCAAAUAAGAAAUGUUACUGACGGUAGAGAGGUAUAUUAGAAAAGACCAAAAGUCAAAAUACUUUUUCGUGCCCCUGACUUUAAGGGUAAAUAAGAAAGACAGUGAUAGUGGAAGGGUAUAUUCGAAAGGGCAAAAUAACAUUUUUUACAGGGAUAACAGAGUUAAUUAACAGAUUUUAAUUCUAGGGGUAUAUUAGAAAUAGGUUGAAACUUAGAAAGUGUAUUUUCAAUAUUAGCUUUCUAAGAGGGGUAACUUGAAAAGUCGGGAACUUUUUAGGGGUAUAUAA